rnacentral:rRNA from 1 species
AUGAGAUAUCGGCGGCCUCCCUUGAGGUGGACCGCCGGACACAAUGAAUAUCCUCGCGUGGAACUGCCGGGAGGGGGGAGGACAGUUCGAGAUGUGUUGGCCCUCUCUAAAGCCAACGUACCCAACCUAGUCUUCUUAAGUGAGACUAGGCAAGAUGUGGUGAGAAUGGAAAAGCUGAAGUGGAGAUUGGGGUUAAAAGGAUUCCAUGGUGUGAGUUCGGAUGGAAGAAGUGGUGGUUUGGCCCUCUUUUGGGAUGAAGCCCUG